CCGCGCGUAGGGAGGGAGGGGGCACCCCAGCGCGAGACCCAGGGACAGCUCGUGAGGGACGGAGCCAGCGCGAGAUUCCGUAGCCAGCGCCAGGCAGAGGUGCGGACCUGAGGCAACCCAAGUGUGCCCCUCCGGUCUCGAGCUUUGCCCAGCUAUAUGAAAUAUGGGAGACGACAGGCCGUUUGUGUGCAAUGCCCCUGGCUGUGGACAGAGAUUUACAAACGAGGACCACCUGGCGGUUCAUAAACACAAGCAUGAGAUGACAUUGAAAUUUGGUCCUUCUAGAACCGAUUCAGUCAUCA